rnacentral:rRNA from 1 species
AGCGAACGUUAGCGGCAGGCCUAACACAUGCAAGUCGCGCGAGAAUUGGACUUCGGUCCAUAGUAAAGCGGCGGACGGGUGAGUAACACGUGGAUAAUCUGCCCUUCGGCGGGGGACAACAGUCCGAAAGGAUUGCUAAUACCGCAUUCGUCCAAGAGGUCUUCGGACCUUUUGGGGAAAGAUGGCCUCUCCAUGGAAGCUAUCACCGAAGGAUGAGUCCGCGUCCCAUCAGCUAGUUGGCGGUGUAAGAGACCACCAAGGCAAAGACGG